CACGUAGGGCGCGAGCGUUGUCCGGAAUUAUUGGGCGUAAAGAGCUCGUAGGCGGCCUGUUGCGUCCGCUGUGAAAGCCCGGGGCUUAACCCCGGGUCUGCAGUGGAUACGGGCAGGCUGGAGGCAGGCAGGGGAGAACGGAAUUCCCGGUGUAGCGGUGAAAUGCGCAGAUAUCGGGAGGAACACCAAUGGCGAAGGCAGCUCGCUGGGACGGUACUGACGCUGAGACGCGAAAGCGUGGGGAGCAAACAGG
rnacentral:rRNA from 1 species